CCUACGGGUGGCUGCAGUGGGGAAUAUUGGACAAUGGGGGCAACCCUGAUCCAGCCAUGCCGCGUGUGUGAAGAAGGCCCUCGGGUUGUAAAGCACUUUCAGUGAGGAAGAACGCCUGGUGGUUAAUACCCAUCAGGAAAGACAUCACUCACAGAAGAAGCACCGGCUAACUCCGUGCCAGCAGCCGCGGUAAUACGGAGGGUGCGAGCGUUAAUCGAAAUUACUGGGCGUAAAGCGCGCGUAGGUGGCUUGAUAAGCCGGUUGUGAAAGCCCCGGGCUCAACCUGGGAACGGCAUCCGGAACUGUCAAGCUAGAGUGCAGGAGAGGAAGGUAGAAUUCCCGGUGUAGCGGUGAAAUGCGUAGAGAUCGGGAGGAAUACCAGUGGCGAAGGCGGCCUUCUGGACUGACACUGACACUGAGGUGCGAAAGCGUGGGUAGCAAACAGGAUUAGAUACCCGAGUAGUC
rnacentral:rRNA from 1 species